rnacentral:rRNA from 1 species
UACGGAGGGGCUAGCGUUGUUCGGAAUUACUGGGCGUAAAGCGCGCGUAGGCGGCUUUGUAAGUUAGAGGUGAAAGCCCGGAGCUCAACUCCGGAACUGCCUUUAAGACUGCAUCGCUAGAAUUGUGGAGAGGUGAGUGGAAUUCCAGUGUAGAGGUGAAAUUGUAGAUAUUCGGAAGAAACACCAGUGGCGAAGGCGACUCACUGGACACAUAUU